GGUAGCGUGGCCGAGCAGUCUAAGGCGCAGCAUUAAGACUGCAGGCUCUUUGGGGGCGUGGGUUCGAAUCCCACCGCUGCCA